CCUCCUUUCUAGAGUAAAGCAGAAUCAUUCGUUUGAUUGCUGCAACACGAGAAAAUCUCAUAUGUUUUAUAUUAGUUCUUCUUCUUGCUUAGUUUUCAGUGAUCUAUUUCAUUUGACUUAGAUAGUACACUUUCGGGCCUAUAGCUCAGCUGGUUAGAGUGCACCCCUGAUAAGGGUGAGGUCCCUGGUUCAAGUCCAGGUAGGCCCACCAUAUCAGUGAAACUAUAUAUCCUAAAAUGUUAAAAUUCAAAUAUAAGUUUUUAUUAGAAAAUUUAUAUUUGGUUUUUAAACCAAAAAGUUCAUUAAAUUACAAUUGUUAAAGUCAACAACUUAAUUAUAGAAAUAUAAUUAAACUAAAUAACUACAAUAAACAGAUAGAAUCAUCAACCUUGUUUAAAGUACCUAGUACAUUAAAUAAGGGUAGUGAACGCAAUAUAGAAUAAAAAGAUAUUAAGGGCCAUAGGUGGAUGCCUUGG
rnacentral:misc_RNA from 1 species